rnacentral:ncRNA from 1 species
CUAGCCUUAUCCUCAACUUUUGCUUAACUUACACAUGCAAGUAUCCGCAUACCCGUGAGAACACCCUCACCCCCUCUAACAGGACGAGGAGCCGGUAUCAGGCCCAACUAUUUUGCCCACGACACCUAGCCACGCCACACCCCCAAGGGUAUUCAGCAGUGAUAAACAUUGAAUAUUAGCGCCAGCUUGAUUCAGUUAAAGCAAGAAGGGCCGGCUAAUACGGUGCCAGCCGCCGCGGCCAUCCCGCUUGGCUCAAGUUGACGGUAGCGGUGUAAAGCGUGAUUAAAGUAAUUCAACACUAGAAUUAAACUCUGACCAAGUGGUCCAUAUACUUGUCCCUGAGAAACCCUUAUACGAAAGUUAUUCUAACCUCUCCCCACUUGAACCCACGACAGCUAGUAACACAAACUGGGAUUAGAUACCCCACUAUGCCUAGCCGUAAAAUAUUAAAUUACACUUAAAGCCACCAGGGAAUUACGAGUUAAUCCUUAAAACUCAAAGGACUUGACGGUGCCCCACCCACCUAGAGGAGCCUGUUCUAUAAUCGACACUCCACGAUAUACCUUACCGCUUCUAGCCUACUCAGUCUGUAUACCUCCGUCGUAAGCUCACCAUGUGAACGCCACAAAGUGAGCUAAAAGGCUACCACCAACACGUCAGGUCAAGGCGCAGCUUAUGUAGCGGAAAGCAAUGGGCUACAAUCUCUCUAACAGAACAUACGGAAUACUAUCUGCAACACUUAGUCACUUGAAGGCGGAUUUAGCAGUAAAAAGAAAUCAGAGAGUUCUUUUUAAUUAGGCUCUGGGGCGUGUACACACCGCCCGUCCCCCUCUUCGACCCCCACAGAAGAGAUAAGUCGUAACAUGGUAAGCGUACUGGAAAGUGCUCUUGGAACAACAAAAUGUAGCUUAGUUAAAGCAUCUCGUUUACACCGAGAAAGACGUCCGUAAACAGACCAUUUUGAGCCUAAAUCUUAGCCCCCCCCCAUACCCCACCUUACUUCAACAAAAUAAAACAUUCUUCCCCAUUAAGUAACGGCGAUUAAAAAAUGAUUAAGAGCUAUAUAAAUAGUACCGCAAGGGAAAUAUGAAAUAAUGUGAAAAACCUAAAGCACACUACAGCAAAGUUUAAGCCUUGUACCUUUUGCAUCAUGGUCUAGCAAGUUUAACCAAGCAAAACGCACUUAAAGUUUGACCCCCCGAAACUAGGCGAGCUACUCUAAAACAGCCUUAUUGGGCCAACCCUUCUCUGUAGCAAAAGAGUGGGAAGAUUUUAAAGUAGAGGUGAUAUACCUAUCGAGCCUAGAGAUAGCUGGUUAUUCAAGAAAAGGAUUUCAGUCCACCUUUAAGUUUUUAUAAUAAAUAAAUUCCCAUAUAAUAAACGCAUAAAUACUAAAUAAACUUAAAAGCCACUCAAAUAAGGUACAGCCUAUUUGAAUUAGGAAACAGCCUCCAAUGUUGGGUAAUGACCCCCCCCCACCCAUGACCAAGUCGGCCUAAAAGCAGCCACCUUUCAAAAAGCGUCCAAGCUUUAUCAUAAACUAUUAUUAAUUCCACAACCAACACAUAACCCUCAACUGCUACUGAAUAAUCCCAUAAAUGUAUGAGAGCCAUCAUGCUAGAACUAGUAACAAGAAAAGAACCUCUCCAAAAAUGUAAACGCAAGCCAUAAUGAACCAUCACCGGCACCCACCGCCCAAGCUUAUAGUAUCAACACUCAAGAAAACCGUACUUUAAACAGCGUUAACCUUACACUAGAACAUUUCUGAGAAAGAUUAAAAGAGACGGAAGGAACUCGGCAAACAUUAGCUCCGCCUGUUUACCAAAAACAUCGCCUCUUGACAAACAUAAGAGGUCCAGCCUGCCCAGUGACCCCAAGUUAAACGGCCGCGGUACCCUAACCGUGCGAAGGUAGCACAAUCACUUGUUCUUUAAAUAAGGACUAGAAUGAACGGCCUCACGAGAGCUAUACUGUCUCCCCUCUCCAAUCAGUGAAACUGAUCUCCUCGUGAAAAAGCGAGGAUACCCCUAUAAGACGAGAAGACCCCAUGAAGCUUUAAACUUGUACCAACCCCCUCUAAACAUACCCAUAAUAGAAAUUAUGACUACAAAUCUUUCGGCUGGGGCGACCACGGAGAAAAACUUAACCUCCAUGAUGAACGGAUAUCCUAAUCAAAGAACCACAAUUCAAAGAAUCAACAAACUGACAUAUUGACCCAAAUAUUUGAUCAACGAACCAAGUUACUCUGGGGAUAACAGCGCAAUCCAUUUCAAGAGCCCCCAUCGACAAAUGGGCUUACGACCUCGAUGUUGGAUCAGGGUAUCCCAGUGGUGCAGCCGCUACUAAAGGU